CAUAGCCAGCCAUACUUGUUCAAAAUGACACCAAUUACCAACUUGUUGUUUAUCACCAUCUCCUUAGUGUCUUCAUUCUAUCACUUUGCUCGUCAACACCCUUUGCAUCUUACUUUUACUCCUCAUGGUAAUAUCUAUUUUCAUUUUGGUUCCACAAACCCCCCUUCCUAAUUAUAAAACCUUAAUAUACUUCAGAAACGAUUUUGUUUCGACUGACUUUUUCGUUCUACGUGAUGAUGAUAUGUAAGCGUUGCGCCAAACGUUGGUUUCGAUCAUCUUCAAUUAUGUUGGCAUGAACUGAAGAUUUUAACUUUGAAGCUACCGGUGUUUUGGGUCU
rnacentral:lncRNA from 1 species